rnacentral:tRNA from 1 species
GGCCUAUUAGCUUAGUUGGUUAGAGCGUCGUGCUAAUAACGCGAAGAUCACAGGUUCGAUGGGCCA